GCGUUGUCCGGAAUCACUGGGCGUAAAGGGCGCGUAGGUGGCCUGAUAAGGGUGUGGUGAAAGUCCGGGGCUCAACCCCGGAUCGGCCGUGCCGACUGUUAGGCUAGAGUACUGUAGGGGCAGGCGGAAUUCCGGGUGUAGCGGUGGAAUGCGUAGAGAUCCGGAGGAAGACCGGUGGCGAAGGCGGCCUGCUGGGCAGUUACUGACACUGAGGCGCGACAGCGUG
rnacentral:rRNA from 1 species